UACCAUGCAGUCGAGCGGAGAUGAGGUGCUUGCACCUUAUCUUAGCGGCGGACGGGUGAGUAAUGCUUAGGAAUCUGCCUAUUAGUGGGGGACAACAUUCCGAAAGGAAUGCUAAUACCGCAUACGUCCUACGGGAGAAAGCAGGGGAUCUUCGGACCUUGCGCUAAUAGAUGAGCCUAAGUCGGAUUAGCUAGUUGGUGGGGUAAAGGCCUACCAAGGCGACGAUCUGUAGCGGGUCUGAGAGGAUGAUCCGCCACACUGGGACUGAGACACGGCCCAGACUCCUACGGGAGGCAGCAGUGGGGAAUAUUGGACAAUGGGGGGAACCCUGAUCCAGCCAUGCCGCGUGUGUGAAGAAGGCCUUAUGGUUGUAAAGCACUUUAAGCGAGGAGGAGGCUACUGAGACUAAUACUCUUGGAUAGUGGACGUUACUCGCAGAAUAAGCACCGGCUAACUCUGUGCCAGCAGCCGCGGUAAUACAGAGGGUGCGAGCGUUAAUCGGAUUUACUGGGCGUAAAGCGUGCGUAGGCGGCUUUUUAAGUCGGAUGUGAAAUCCCCGAGCUUAACUUGGGAAUUGCAUUCGAUACUGGGAAGCUAGAGUAUGGGAGAGGAUGGUAGAAUUCCAGGUGUAGCGGUGAAAUGCGUAGAGAUCUGGAGGAAUACCGAUGGCGAAGGCAGCCAUCUGGCCUAAUACUGACGCUGAGGU
rnacentral:rRNA from 1 species